UACGAAGGGGGCUAGCGUUGCUCGGAAUGACUUGGCGUAAAGGGCGCGUAGGCGGAUGGCACAGUCAGAUGUGAAAUUCCCGGGCUUAACCUGGGGGCUGCAUUUGAUACGUGUGAUCUAGAGUGAGGAAGAGGGUCGUGGAAUUCCCAGUGUAGAGGUGAAAUUCGUAGAUAUUCGCAAGAACACCAGUGGCGAAGGCGGCUCACUGGCCCGGUACUGACGCUGAGGUGCGAAAGCGUGGGGAGCAAACAGG
rnacentral:rRNA from 1 species